AGCAAACGGUGCCUCUGAAGGAGGUUUAACCAAAGACGAGCAGCAGCCACCCAGGAGGGUCUGCGACAGUCACAGAGGUCAACAGCACAUAUCUACUGGAUGCUGAAUGUCAACUUGAAAUGUGGUGCGCUUACAUCAGGCCCAUAUCAGAGAGACAUCAGAGAUUAUGAGCAGAUGAGGUCCUGAAAGUGAUCCACAGUCUUGCCACCUCUCCUGAUCGCUAUCAUCAGCACCUCUCCGAAGGCAGAACCGAUUGCAAUCUACCUUCAAGUCGGCUGAAGUGCUGCUGUGGGACCGCUUCGCAAUGAUGGAACUUCACAUGCCUUAAGAAACGCAAUCGAUAUCACUGAUAUGCCUAAAAAUACUAUUUACAUUGCUCAUAGUACAUCAUUAGAAUUGACAUUUUAUGCGAGUCAUAAGGGAGGAGAAGCAAUGAUAGGAUUUAUAACUGUAUGUCAUUAUCUCACUUCUGUUUGAGACUUGAGAAGAUGGAAAUAGCUGCAGUCACGCCGUAACAGGGGCGACAUCGAUAUUUGAUACUACUCUCGAUGCCGCGGGGGAAAAGAUGGCACAGCGAGGUGGCUAGCAAACACAUAAUAGCAUAAACAUUUGUUAUUUUCUCUUUAAAUCAGGCCUUGAAAAUAUAACAUGCAAGGUUUGCCACCAUCUUAAAUGAGCCCAGGUUGGUGGUUCUCAACAGGGAGGCUUCCGUGUAGCAAGUGUUUCAUCUUGUUUCAUCUGGAGCUGCAGUUAGUUCUGUCACAGUUUGGACAGGCAGAAAGCUUUUUAAGUCAGUCUCCUACAUCUGUGAUGGUUCACAGUGAAAGGAUGUUAUGGAAACAUACGUUGGGCAUGUAUAUUGUAAUAGACAUGUUACAGAUGAAUACUGCAUGUUGACGGGGCAAUGGAGUGAGAAAGACAGAUUCAGUUCACGGGCAUUUUAAAGCAACUCCAUAUGCAUGGCUUGUUACGCUGGUGAAACCUUUUUAAAGCAUCUGAAUGCAAACUGUAAGGAAAAUAAAACAAUUCCAGGUUAGUUUUAGAGUUUUAUUAACCCCCAAAUUUGAGUUUAUUAUAUAACUGCGUUAGUUAACUCUCCUCAUUCAUACGUAUCUUCUCACUGUUUUCUUGUCAGCAACACAUUUUGGUUUAAG